rnacentral:lncRNA from 1 species
ACUCAAAGCUCUUCUCUUAACCUCUCUCUUCAUCACCACCGAUUCCUUUCUCUGAUCAUCAACCACCACUCUCGAGGCCUGACGACCCACUUCGAUCACCCACUACCACCUUCAAUUGCUGGCAAUAAUUAACCUCCUGCAUCAAUCCAAUUUGAAGACUCAUCUUUUCAAAUUCUAGCUAUUUCUUGUGUCAACCACCACAAUUGCCUGCAAUUACAAACUUUUGUAGCACAAAUUGGGUAAGAAUUUCAUCCUCUAUUCAGUUCAUUCGUUGAUUCAUAUGCAAAAAAACUGAAAUCUUCUUUUCGGUCUUUCUUUUCGGUGCUUUAGCCUCAUCUCUCAAUCAUCUCUUUUGCUUCAAUCUCCUUCAACGUACUGCUUCUCUUGAUCAGGUUCAAAUUGUAUUGUUUUUACAGAUUGAUUAUGAAUUUGAUGUCUAGGUUGCUUGAUAUUCAUCUAUAAAUUGAUCAAUUUCUGUGGUGAUCAUUUAUGGGUUGUGGGGUUUUCACAGAUUGAUUAUGAAUUUGAUGUCUGGGUUGCUUGAUCAUCUAUGAAUUGAUCAAUUUCUGGAAAAGACCCAUUUGCCGGAGUAUUUCUCUUUCCUCUGAUUCCUCUUCUCGUUGUUCCGGUUGUUCAUGUCUCGUCUUCUUUCUUUUCUUCUUUGGUUUCUCUCCUCAUCUCCUCCUCUCUGUUUCCUCAUUUCGUUUCUCUUUUUUUUUCAUGGCAAUGCAACAAGUUCAU